GCCACUGCUAUCCAGGUAAAAAUUUAAUUCUUAUUCAUAUAGAUUUGUAAAAAAAAUUUAUAUGCAACCUGGGCUAUUCGAAAAGAAACAGUUUUUCUUUCCUUUAAUUGGUAUCAAAGCAAGCCUUUGAUUCAUGCAUGUAUAACUAAAUUUUUUUAGAUUAUUUAUAUAUUAUAUAUAAUUAAAAUUUUAUAUUAGAUAUGAUUUAAAUCUAUUUAAAUAAAAUUUUUG
rnacentral:lncRNA from 1 species